rnacentral:rRNA from 1 species
UACGGAGGGGGCAAGCGUUAUUCGGAAUUAUUGGGCGUAAAGGGCGCGUAGGCGGCUAGAUGUGUCAAAGGUGAAAUCCCUCGGCUCAACUGAGGAAUUGCCUUUGAAACUGUCUGGCUUGAGGCCGGGAGAGGGUAGCGGAAUUCCCAGUGUAGCGGUGAAAUGCGUAGAUAUUGGGAAGAACACCGAUGGCGAAGGCAGCCAUCUGGACCGACACUGACGCUGAGGCGCGAAAGCGUGGGGAGCAAACAGG